CUCGGCCCGACUGGCGGGGCGACAGUCGCCCGCGUGACGCGUAACCGAACGCACGCGUGCGUCAGGACACAAUAAACAAACGUAAAUAAAAAAUAAUACUCAGCAAACGGCGCAAGUGUUAAAAGCGCAGGAAGAAAAAGAAAGAAACGCGAGAGUAACAGGGA